CCUACGGGUGGCAGCAGUGAGGGAUAUUGGUCAAUGGGGGAAACCCUGAACCAGCAACGCCGCGUGAGGGAAGACGGUUUUCGGAUUGUAAACCUCUGUCCUCUGUGAAGAUAAUGACGGUAGCAGAGGAGGAAGCUCCGGCUAACUACGUGCCAGCAGCCGCGGUAAUACGUAGGGAGCGAGCGUUAUCCGGAUUCACUGGGUGUAAAGGGAGCGUAGACGGCCAUGCAAGCCAGGGGUGAAAGCCCGGGGCCCAACCCCGGGACUGCCCUUGGAACUGCAUGGCUGGAGUGCGGGAGGGGCAGGCGGAAUUCCUGGUGUAGCGGUGAAAUGCGUAGAUAUCAGGAGGAACACCGGCGGCGAAGGCGGCCUGCUGGACCGCGACUGACGUUGAGGCUCGAAAGCGUGGGGAGCGAACAGGAUUAGAUACCCCAGUAGUC
rnacentral:rRNA from 1 species